UUUGUACGGACGCGCUGUGUUACAUAGUAACACUGUGUCUGUUUCACUUGUCUCCUAGGCAACCUGGACGGCUGCGGAAAGCCUGACGCCGGGCGCUGCACUGUGACGUCAGGGCGACUGCAUGCUGCCGGGAUGCCGCGCUCUGGGUGUGUUUGUAUCACUGGUGGCUGGUAUCUAUAUAGAGCUGGUCUCCAGCACAAUAUGAUAAGAACAGCAGAAACAAUGACCCAGGCUUCAAUCUCAUAAAGAAGAGGAAAAGGUGGUAUGGGCCAGAUCUCAGUCAUCAUUUCAAGCAGGGGUAAACAGCUGAGCAUUUGAAAUCUGCCAGUCAUAGGAAAACAUGCAAGGUUUCACUAUUUCAUUUGUAAAAGGGACUCUUUGAUACAAGCCAAAUGGCAGGAUAUCCUAAAUGAGUUGUGGGAUGGAGAAAUCAAGAAGCUGCUGACAUCAGACUCAUCUGAACCAGUCUAACUACUGUGCACAACGUUCAGCUGAAGAUAAGAAAAAGUAACAAUGUAUGGCAGUCCUAUAACCCUUAUUGUAUGACAGGAGUGUCCGGAAAAACGCAGGCGGGAUAAGGCGUUUUCAGGGAGGUUGUCUAACGUCAGCUCCGGCCCCGAUCAGCAGCAAACAAUUGCAGCAUAGCCUUGUUGCAAAAAGACUAACAGAAAUUGCAUUCCCUGUGGACACUCAGACGGUCAUCACCAGAAAAGGACCUCACCAAACCAGCAACCAGAAGAUACUAUUUUAUUGGCAAGCACCCACUGGGGGGCAGCAGUGAACUGAAAUACCGUCCAGAAAAGGGUAAUCAAGAGAAGAGCAGAAAAACCUACGGAGAUAAAAAAAAACAGACUACUCACGAUGAGAUCCAGACUCAAAAUGUUUUGUAAUACUAACUAUUGUAGUUAUUUACUUAUAA